CUGGCAGAGUGUUAUUCUUAGGUUGGUUCAACUACAUUGAGAAAAGUUUUACCUAAGUUCUGUGUUCUUUUCAAGCUAAUGAUGGAAACUGGCCAACAUUAAAACAGAAUUCUAGCUCUUCCGUGAAACCAGUGCAGGUGGCCGGUGCAGACUGGAAGGAUCCGAGCGUGGAGGGGUCUGUCAAGCAGGGCACUGUCUCCAGCCAGCCUGUGCCCUUCUCAGCACUGGGACCCACGGAGAAGCCGGGCAUCGAGAUUGGUAAAGUGCCACCUCCCAUCCCGGGUGUAGGCAAGCAGCUGCCUCCAAGCUAUGGGACAUACCCAAGUCCUACACCUCUGGGUCCUGGGUCGACAAGCUCCCUGGAAAGGAGGAAGGAAGGCAGCUUGCCCAGGCCCAGUGCAGGCCUGCCAAGUCGACAGAGGCCCACCCUGCUGCCCCCCACAGGCAA
rnacentral:sRNA from 1 species